AUUGAACGCUGGCGGCAGGCCUAACACAUGCAAGUCGAACGAGUGGCGGACGGGUGAGUAAUGUCUGGGAAACUGCCUGAUGGUGGGGGAUAACUACUGGAAACGGUAGCCAAUACCGCAUACCAUCAGAUGUGCCCAGAUGGGAUUAGCUUGUUGGUGGGGUAACGGCUCACCAAGGCGACUAGCCCUAGCUGGUCUGAGAGGGUUACCAGCCACACUGGAACUGUGACACUGUCCAGACUCCUACGGGAGGCGGCAGUGGGGAAUAUUGCACAAUGUGCGCAAGCCUGAUGCGGCCAUGCCGGGUGUAUGAAGAAGGCCUUCGGGUUGUAAAGUACUUUCAGCGGGGAGGCGUUACCCGCAGAAGGAGCACCGGCUAACUCCGUGCCAGCAGCCGCGGUAAUAC
rnacentral:rRNA from 1 species